UACGGAGGGGGCGAGCGUUGUUCGGAAUUAUUGGGCGUAAAGGGCGCGUAGGUGGCCUGGUUAGUCUAGCGUGAAAUCUUCACCGCUCAACGGGAAGACGGCGCUGGAUACUGCUGGGCUAGAGUGCGAGAGAGGUUGGUGGAAUUCCUGGUGUAGCGGUGGAAUGCGUAGAUAUCAGGAGGAACACCGGUGGCGAAGGCGGCCAACUGGCUCGUAACUGACGCUGAGGCGCGAAAGCGCGGGUAGCAAACAGG
rnacentral:rRNA from 1 species